GGGGAUGUUCUGGUUUUGACAGCAAUGAUUCCGGGUGGUAAGCACGUCGGGCUUCUUCGGUGGCCAGCCCGUUAAUCUAAGAUGCCGAAAAAUUAGUUGCUGAUAACAACUACGCACUCGCUGCCUAAUUGACCAAGUCGAUUAGCUUAAUCCCGGCCGCCAAGGCUGCGGCCCGGACGAGUAUCCCGCGGACUUCAAUCCUUCUCUGUCCGAGUUCGGGGUAUCAUUCAGGAAGGAUGCUCCGGCGGACUCCUCUAAAGCCGGCUAAGAUUUAAAGGAUAAGCUGCGGUUAGCCCGUCUUUCGGCAGGCCGCUGACGAAAACCAAAGGAAGAAUAAACGUGUAGAAAGCUGCUGGGUACGUUGUUUGGACGGCGGUUCGACUCCGCCCAUCUCCAC
rnacentral:tmRNA from 1 species